rnacentral:lncRNA from 1 species
UAGGCGUUUAGAGAAAAUGGCAGACGAUAUUGAUAUUGAAGCAAUGCUUGAGGCUCCUUACAAGAAGAUGAGAACAAGUUGAGCAGUGCCAACGGCCAUGAAGAACGUAGCAAAAGAGGAAAAAAAGCAAGAGCAGAAGUCGUAGUCAUGAACGAAAGAGAAGCAAAAGUAAGGAACGGAAGCGAAGUAGAGACAGAGAAAGGAAAAAGAGCAAAAGCCGUGAAAGAAAGCGAAGUAGAAGCAAAGAGAGGCGACGGAG